AGUGGGAACGAGGGCAGAAGUGUAGUUGUAUUGCCUAGUCCUAACAGCAGUGGGAACGAGGGCAGAAGUGUAGUUGUAUUGCCUAGUCCUAACAGCAGUGGGAACGAGGGCAGAAGUGUAGUUGUAUUGCCUAGUCCUAACAGCAGUGGGAACGAGGGCAGAAGUGUAGUUGUAUUGCCUAGUCCUAACAGCAGUGGGAACGAGGGCAGAAGUGUAGUUGUAUUGCCUAGUCCUAACAGCAGUGGGAACGAGGGCAGAAGUGUAGUUUUAUCGCCUAGUCCUAACAGCAGUGGGAACGAGGGCAGAAGUGUAGUUGUAUUGCCUAGUCCUAACAGCAGUGGGAACGAGGGCAGAAGUGUAGUUGUAUUGCCUAGUCCUAACAGCAGUGGGAACGAGGGCAGAAGUGUAGUUGUAUUGCCUAGUCCUAACAGCAGUGGGAACGAGGGCAGAAGUGUAGUUGUAUUGCCUAGUCCUAACAGCAGUGGGAACGAGGGCAGAAUUGUAGUUGUAUUGCCUAGUCCUAACAGCAGUGGGAACGAGGGCAGAAGUGUAGUUGUAUCGCCUAGUCCUAACAGCAGUGAGAACGAGGGCAGAAGUGUAGUUUUAUCACCUAGUCCUAACAGCAGUGAGAACGAGGGCAGAAGUGUAGUUGUAUUGCCUAGUCCUAACAGCACUGAGAACGAGGGCAGAAGUGUAGUUUUAUCACCUAGUCCUAACAGCAGUGGGAACGAGGCCAGAAGUGUAGUUGUAUUGCCUAGUCCUAACAGCAGUGGGAACGAGGGCAGAAGUGUAGUUGUAUUGCCUAGUCCUAACAGCAGUGGGAACGAGGGCAGAAGUGUAGUUGUAUUGCCUAGUCCUAACAGCAGUGGGAACGAGGGCAGAAGUGUAGUUGUAUUGCCUAGUCCUAACAGCAGUGGGAACGAGGGCAGAAGUGUAGUUGUAUUGCCUAGUCCUAACAGCAGUGGGAACGAGGGCAGAAGUGUAUUUGUAUUGCCUAGUCCUAACAGCAGUGGGAAUGAGGGCAGAAGUGUAGUUUUAUUGCCUAGUCCUAACAGCAGUGGGAACGAGGGCAGAAGUGUAGUUGUAUUGCCUAGUCCUAACAGCAGUGGGAACGAGGGCAGAUGUGUAGUUGUAUUGCCUAGUCCUAACAGCAGUGGGAACGAGGGCAGAAGUGUAGUUGUAUUGCCUAGUCCUAACAGCAGUGGGAACGAGGGCAGAAGUGUAGUUGUAUUGCCUAGUCCUAACAGCAGUGGGAACGAGGGCAGAAGUGUAGUUGUAUUGCCUAGUCCUAACAGCAGUGGGAACGAGGGCAGAAGGAGGGGAUUGUUAGAGGCGAGAGAACUUUAG
rnacentral:lncRNA from 8 species